ACGAACGCUGGCGGCAUGCCUAACCCAUGCCAGUCGAACGAGACCUUCGGGUCUAGUGGCGCACGGGUGCGUAACGCGUGGGAACCUGCCCUUAGGUUCGGAAUAACUCCCCGAAAGGGGUGCUAAUACCGGAUAAUGUCUUCGGACCAAAGAUUUAUCGCCUUUGGAUGGGCCCGCGUUGGAUUAGCUAGUUGGUAGGGUAAAAGCCUACCAAGGCGACGAUCCAUAGCUGGUCUGAGAGGAUGAUCAGCCACACUGGGACUGAGACACGGCCCAGACUCCUACGGGAGGCAGCAGUGGGGAAUAUUGGACAAUGGGCGAAAGCCUGAUCCAGCAAUGCCGCGUGAGUGAUGAAGGCCUUAGGGUUGUAAAGCUCUUUUACCCGGGAUGAUAAUGACAGUACCGGGAGAAUAAGCUCCGGCUAACUCCGUG
rnacentral:rRNA from 1 species